CCACCUGACCCCAUGCCGAACUCAGAAGUGAAACGCCGUAGCGCCGAUGGUAGUGUGGGGUCUCCCCAUGCGAGAGUAGAGAACUGCCAGAC
rnacentral:rRNA from 1 species